rfam:Marine metagenome 1096626084169, whole genome shotgun sequence.
AGCAGCACGGGGAGAGCGACCCUGGGGCUGGCAGACGAGUUUCCCCGUUGAGAGCGAUCAAUGGGGGAACCUCUCUGUGUCUAAAAGCUGUAGAAAUUCAGUGCAUCAGGCGCAAAUCAGUGUGACGUGAUGAACGUGUUUAUGCGGAUACCGCAUCGCUCGGGGAGGACUCGCUUCUCCUCGCGGUUCCGUGGCUCCA